CCUACGGGCGGCAGCAGUGGGGGAUAUUGCACAAUGGGGGAAACCCUGAUGCAGCGACGCCGCGGGGGUGAAGAAGCGCCUCGGCGCGUAAAGCCCUGUCAGCAGGGAAGAAAAUGACGGUACCUGAAGAAGACGCCCCGGCUAACUAAGUGCCAGCAGCCGCGGUCAUACGUAGGGGGCAAGCGUUAACCGGAUUUACUGGGUGUAAAGGGGGCGCAGACGGCGAUGCAAGCCAGGAGUGAAAGCCCGGGGCCCAACCCCGGGACUGCUCUUGGAACUGCGUGGCUAGAGUGCAGGAGGGGAGGGAGGAAUUCCUGGUGUAGCGGUGAAAUGCGUAGAUAUCAGGAGGAACACCGAUGGCGAAGGCGGCCUGCGGGACUGCAACUGACGUUGAGGCCCGAAAGCGUGGGGAGCAAACAGGAUUAGAUACCCCAGUAGUC
rnacentral:rRNA from 1 species